rnacentral:rRNA from 1 species
UACGUAGGGUGCGAGCGUUGUCCGGAUUUAUUGGGCGUAAAGAGCUCGUAGGCGGUUUGUCGCGUCGGCCGUGAAAUCUCCACGCUUAACGUGGAGCGUGCGGUCGAUACGGGCAGACUUGAGUUCGGUAGGGGAGACUGGAAUUCCUGGUGUAGCGGUGAAAUGCGUAGAUAUCAGGAGGAAUACCGAUGGCGAAGGCAGGUCUCUGGGCUGAUACUGACGCUCAUGCACGAAAGCGUGGGGAGCAAACAGG